GAUCUUCAACAAUCUAUGACAUUCCAGUAUAACAUUAACAAUCUGAAUCUCACAUCCCUUUGGCAUGUCAGUACAAUUUACAACUUUUUUAUAACUAUAUAUUAGGUACCGCGGCUACAGCGUUUAAGCACGCAUGCGCAAUCAAACGUUUCUGCAUUAGCUUAUAAAAUAACUUUUCUACGUCCCUUCAUAUUUCAUCAAAGAAUGGUUUUUGGCACAAACAAAGCGAGGGCCAGAUAGCGCUAUCCACCAGGGGCCGGUUGUAUCAAGAAUAACAUUGGCUUAUCAGGCUCUCGUGAAUCAGUGAACUUAAAUAUUAUGUAGGAAUAUGUAGUUGUAAACAUUAUCGUUCUAUUAAAUCUCUUUCUAUUUUGAGCUUAACCACCGUUUAAAGGGGCAGUGUCACGGCGUUGAUUGGCUAAAAUAAACGGCCCAAAGAAACGUUUAAAAUUAUUGCUACAUGGUUGGAAAAAAUGCAGCAGCCUUCAAUUUUUAAAACAAAGCAAAGGAUGUCCUACAUAACGAAGGGAUUAUAAAUAGUUUUCGUAUUUCACUCCAAACUUGAUUAAUUGUUGGCAGACAGUUUUUCAAGUUCGCGCAAAUUUUGGAUGCUAAACGGGCUUGAUACAACCGGCUCCAGAUCUGACUUGUACCCAUGCAGUCGGCAAAGCUAUAAGUUAUAUAUACAAUAUGAUUAUAGAUCAUUGGACUGAGGAAUGUGAUGUGUGAUGGAUCCUUGAUCAUUCCCAUUAUGAUCGUGUACCAUUAUUUUUUUAACCUCAUUAAUCCGGGUACGAGUCAGCCACUAGAUACUGAGUGAUUUUUUCAUGCUUCCUAAAUGCUGA